rnacentral:rRNA from 1 species
AUUGAACGCUGGCGGCAGGCCUAACACAUGCAAGUCGAGCGGGGUUUUCGGACCUAGCGGCGGACGGGUGAGUAAUGCGUAGGAAGCUACCCGAUAGAGGGGGAUACCAGUUGGAAACGACUGUUAAUACCGCAUAAUGUCUACGGACCAAAGUGUGGGACCUUCGGGCCACAUGCUAUCGGAUGCGCCUACGUGGGAUUAGCUAGUUGGUGAGGUAAUGGCUCACCAAGGCGACGAUCCCUAGCUGGUUUGAGAGGAUGAUCAGCCACACCGGAACUGAGACACGGUCCAGACGCCUACGGGAGGCGGCGUUGGGGAAUAUCGGAAAAUGGGCGCAAGCCUGAUCCAGCCAUGCCGCGUGUGUGAAGAAGGCCUUCGGGUUGUAAAGCACGUUCAGUAGGGAGGAAGCGUUGUGUGUUAAUAGUACACAGCGUUGACGUUACCUACAGAAGAAGCACCGGCUAACUCUGUGCCAGCCGCCGCUGUAACAC